AGAUUGGGUUUCACCAUAUUGCCCAGGCUGGUCUUGAACACCUGAGCUCGAGCAGUCCGCUUCCCUCAGCCUCCCAAAGUGCUGGGAUUACAGGUGCCAGCCACUGUGCCCAGUCCAACAUGCUGUUCUUUCUAAAUUCCAAAAUUCAUGUUCAUUUUGCUACAUCACAUUCAAAUUGCUUCUUAAUGAAGAGGAUAACUCAGAAUCAUCGGCUAUAGAGCAGCCAUCUACUUCAAACCCAGCACCGCAGAUUGUGCAGGCUGCGUCUUCAGCACCAGCACUUGAAACUGACUCUUCCCCUCCACCGUAUAGCAGUAUUACUGUGGAAGUACCUACAACUUCAG
rnacentral:sRNA from 1 species